UUGGGCCUCUCUGAAGGGCAGC
rnacentral:piRNA from 1 species